rnacentral:rRNA from 1 species
AUCUUGCGCAAUGGGGGAAACCCUGACGCAGCAACGCCGCGUGAGUGAGGAAGGUCUUCGGAUCGUAAAGCUCUGUCGGAUGGGAAGAAAUGCAUGCGGGCUAAUACCUCGUAUGCUUGACGGUACCAUCAGAGGAAGCACCGGCUAACUCCGUGCCAGCAGCCGCGGUAAUACGGGGGGUGCAAGCGUUGUUCGGAAUCAUUGGGCGUAAAGGGCGUGUAGGCGGCCGGGUAAGUCAGAUGUGAAAUCCCUGGGCUUAACCCAGGAAGUGCAUUUGAAACUGUCCGGCUCGAGUAGGGGAGAGGAAAGUGGAAUUCCUGGUGUAGAGGUGAAAUUCGUAGAUAUCAGGAGGAACACCGGUGGCGAAGGCGACUUUCUGGCCCUAUACUGACGCUGAGACGCGAAAGCGUGGGUAGCAAACAGG